GACGAACGCUGGCGGCGUGCUUAACACAUGCAAGUCGAACGGAAAGGCCCUGCUUUUGUGGGGUGCUCGAGUGGCGAACGGGUGGGUAACACGUGAGUAACCUGCCCUUGACUUUGGGAUAACUUCAGGAAACUGGGGCUAAUACCGGAUAGGAGCUCCUGCUGCAUGGAGGGGGUUGGAAAGUUUCGGCGGUUGGGGAUGGACUCGCGGCUUAUCAGCUUGUUGGUGGGGUAGUGGCUUACCAAGGCUUUGACGGGUAGCCGGCCUGAGAGGGUGACCGGCCACAUUGGGACUGAGAUACGGCCCAGACCCCUACGGGAGGCAGCAGUGGGGAAUAUUGCACAAUGGGCGGAAGCCUGAUGCAGCAACGCCGCGUGCGGGAUGACGGCCUUCGGGUUGUAAACCGCUUUCGCCUGUGACGAAGCGUGAGUGACGGUAAUGGGUAAAGAAGCACCGGCUAACUACGUG
rnacentral:rRNA from 1 species